rnacentral:rRNA from 1 species
UACAGAGACUGCAAGCGUUAUUCGGAUUCACUGGGCGUAAAGGGUGCGCAGGCGGUUGGGUGUGUCAGAUGUGAAAUCCCGAGGCUUAACCUCGGAACUGCGUCUGAAACUACUCGACUAGAGUACUGGAGAGGGAAACGGAAUUCACGGUGUAGCAGUGAAAUGCGUAGAUAUCGUGAGGAACACCAGAGGCGAAGGCGGCUACCUGGACAAUUGCUGACGCUCAGGCACGAAAGCGUGGGGAGCAAAAGGG